CCCGCCGCCCGGGGGCCGCCUUCCGUCCCGCCCGCUCCCGGCGCAGGUGCCGCAGAGCAGGGAGGCGGCCACCGUUCGCAAUUACCUCGUUCGAAAGUAGGAGCCGGACUCCAGGCCCCUAGCCGCGGCCUCCAAGGGCCAGACUUCAUCAACUCCUCCCGGGCGUGGAAUCCUACAGAGAAUCGAGACCAAAAAGCUCCCACAGAGCGAGUGGAGUCACCGGGCCCUCCCACACGCGUCCCCUACGACUUUGGCAGGACUUGAGAGCCCUCGGGUUCCCGUCAUCCUGACACCUCCAGGGCAGACGGAGGCUGCAGGUUCUGGACCUGCGCUCAACUCAGAGGGCCGCGGGCUGAUUGCUCACCGUGUCCCUGGAGGACUUGAACCCCUUCCUUCCAAUGACAGCUCCGUGUCACCCUGCUUCGUCCAGGAUCCAGUAGCGGCACCCUAGGCCGGUGCGCUUCACCCGCUGCUCUCGCGGGCCGAGGCUGACCAGCGAAGGGCGCCUGACACGGCGCAGUGCAGACUGGAAAGUGGGUGGCCUGCAGCCAGACAGCAUCCUGGAACCCGAGGUGGAGCGGUGGGGCUGGCUGGCGACGUGGGGUGGGCAGGGAGUGGUGUGGGACGUGUGCGGAGAGAAUGUGUCCGCGGUCUAGGCGGGCUUCCCUGCCCCGGGAAGCCUAGGCCAUUUCCCGUGUUGGACCCCUCUGCCAGAAAUUCCUUUAGAAAAAUCCUGGGCCAGAAUGCUCUGGG